rnacentral:lncRNA from 1 species
UACGUAUGUGUAUAGCUAUAUAAUAUAUAUAGAUAUAUAUAUAUAUAUCAUACGGAUAAUAUAUAUGUAGUUUCAUAGUUUAUUUGUGUGCAAUAAUAAUGACGCUCUCGUAUAGGUGCAACGUAUACGGAUAAUUGCGGCGUAUACGAUUAAAUUGGAGAACAUAUACAAUUGAAAACUAAAAUCAAUAAAGAAAUGAAAAGGAAAAAGAAAAAAAACAAAAACAAAAAAAACCUUUAGUCCCGGUUGGUAAUACCAACCGGGACUAAAAGGGGUGGCCAGGGGUGGCGCCACGUCACUGCCUGGUGCCCCCUGUAGUCCCGGUUGGUGUUACCAACCGGGACUAAAGGUCCCCAUUUAGUCCCGGGUCUGGGAGCCGGGACUAAAGGUGGGACCUUUAGUCCCGAUCCCUUAGUCCCGGCUCGCCACCCGGGAAUACAAGUGGUUUUCGACUGGGACUAAAGGCCUUUCCUGUACAAAGUUAGUAAGUUAGGUAUUCACACUGAUUUAUAACUUUGAACUUUUCAUUUUUAUAGACAGAGCUUACCGAUCAGAUAGCUAAGACAAAACAAUUAAUAAACAUGUAGUAGAGGGUACGGUGUUUAUUUUGACGAGGGGAUUGGCCAUGGUAUUGAAUUCUGAAUCCCUACCAUCUUUAAUAAGUAAUAGGUAUAUAUAUAGCCCUUCGCUGGUCUAAAAAACUAUGACUGAAAAUACUUAUACUGAUUUAUCAUAAAUAAAAUACUAUUAGCUGGUAAAAAAAUAUGGCUUAUAAGACAAGCCGCAGACCAAAUGUCUAC